rnacentral:rRNA from 1 species
UACAGAGGGUGCAAGCGUUGUUCGGAAUUAUUGGGCGUAAAGGGCGCGUAGGCGGUGCGGUAAGUCUGUAGUGAAAUCUCUGGGCUCAACUCAGAGUCUGCUAUAGAAACUGCCGUGCUUGAGUGUGGGAGAGGUGAGUGGAAUUCCCGGUGUAGCGGUGAAAUGCGUAGAUAUCGGGAGGCAACACCGAAGGCGAAGGCAGCCCCCUGGGAUAUAACUGACGCUGCCAGGCACGAAAGGCGUGGGUAGCAAACAGG